UACGGGGGGAGCAAGCGUUGUUCGGAUUUACUGGGCGUAAAGGGCGCGUAGGCGGCCAGCACAAGUCAGCUGUGAAAUCUCCGGGCUUAACUCGGAAAGGUCAACUGAUACUGUGCGACUAGAGUGCAGAAGGGGCAACUGGAAUUCUCGGUGUAGCGGUGAAAUGCGUAGAUAUCGAGAGGAACACCUGCGGCGAAGGCGGGUUGCUGGGCCGACACUGACGCUGAUGCGCGAAAGCCAGGGGAGCGAACGGG
rnacentral:rRNA from 1 species